GGCCAGACUCCUACGGGAGGCAGCAGUGGGGAAUAUUGCACAAUGGGGGAAACCCUGAUGCAGCGACGCCGCGUGAGCGAUGAAGUAUUUCGGUAUGUAAAGCUCUAUCAGCAGGGAAGAAAAUGACGGUACCUGACUAAGAAGCCCCGGCUAACUACGUGCCAGCAGCCGCGGUAAUACGUAGGGGGCAAGCGUUAUCCGGAUUUACUGGGUGUAAAGGGAGCGUAGACGGCGGUGCAAGCCAGAUGUGAAACCCCGGGGCUCAACCCCGGGCAUGCAUUGGAAACUGGCGGGCUGGAGUGCCGGAGAGGUAAGCGGAAUUCCUAGUGUAGCGGUGAAAUGCGUAGAUAUUAGGAGGAACACCAGUGGCGAAGGCGGCUUACUGGACGGCAACUGACGCUGAGGCUCGAAAGCGUGGGGAGCAAACAGGAUUAGAUACCCCGGUAA
rnacentral:rRNA from 1 species